ensembl:lncRNA
UUCUAAAAAGAUUUGCCAUUAAGAAAUUAAUAUGUGUUGUUAAUAUGAAUAAUUCAUGCUUUACAUACGUUUUAGUUAAAAGGAAAAUAUCGCUAAAAUGUAUUUCCUGUUCUGGCGGGGCACUUCCGGUUCCGGUCGAGCACUUCCGGUUUUGGUCAAGCGCUCGGUUUUGCUGAGAAACAGGCUCCUCAUGCUAAAGGCAGUAUGGAGAUGUAAUCUAAUGCCAUCUACUCCGAAUUAUCAGGCCGGAACGCCUUUUCACCACAUGUUCAUGGAGACAAUUAAACAAGCUGCAACUAAACUCCAGGGUCUUCAUUUGUGGUUUAACUCUGUGUCACCAACAUCCUCGUUGAAAACACUAUAGUGAAAAGGCGGCUACUGGUGAUUCAUCACGGUCAAAAUGGCAUCCAGUAACAAGUCUGCACGCAGUUUAAGGACCAGCCGCUCAUCUGGAUCAGCAGUAAGCGCUGCCCAUGCUCGAGCUAAAGCAGAGGCUGCCAAGGACUUUAACCGGAACUGCCCACUGCAUAACAAGCCACACCCGCUCAAAAGAUGCAGAACAUUUAGGAAUAAAGCACUGGACGAAAGGAAGGCCUUCCUCAAAGAGAAAGGAUUAUGCUUCAGAUGCUGUUCUUCAGAUACUCAUCUUGCGAAGGAAUGCAAAUCUUCAGUAAAGUGUUCUGAAUGUGACAGCACAAGUCACGACGCAGUCAUGCAUCCCGGUCCUCCACCACAGACCAACAAGGCUCCACCUCCGGCACAAGAGAAUGGCGGGGAGAGAGAAAACAGUCAUGACACGGUUGAUGUCACAACAAGCUGCACAGACGUGUGCGGUUCAGUUUUCACCACAUGUUCAUGGAGACAAUUAAACAAGCUGCAACUAAACUCCAGGGUCUUCAUUUGUGGUUUAACUCGGUGUCACCAACAUCCUCGUUGAAAACACUACAGACUCUAUGUGGGGAUGUGACUCUAAAGCAGGUGUCAUUUUAAUAACAUGUGUUAGAAUGCAUGCAAAAAGACAAGACAGUGCUAAAGCGGCUGUGAUCAGAUGUGAGUCCUAGUGGCUAAUGGCUAAUGCUUCUUUAUGAAGUAGAGGUGUCUGAGGAGGAUGCUUGCCUUAUGAAGCUCUCUUAUAUGAAGACCACACCAUCUUUGUGCUGUGUGGCUCAGACGACCGGGCCAUAGACCUCACUAGGUGUUAGCAGCCUGGAUUUCUGUUUAUUAUAUUUGGAAAUAAGAGCUUCAUUUUGAUUUAAUGUGAUUCCCCAUAUAUUUCAUAAAGCCUGAUGUGCUGGUGGAGUUUUGUUGGACGUGGAGAAAUACACAGGGCUGAUAUGCAGGGAAUCAUUUUCAAAAGUAGAUAUUGCCAGGUCAGUUGAUGUUGUCGAAAUUUGUUCCAGAAGCUUGUUCUCCAGGAGAUUUGGUAGCUUUAAUGCGUUCAAUGAUAUAUGAUUUACAGAGGUUUUAAGAAGCCUAUGUCAAAAAAUCUCUAGAAUACUGUGAGAAUGACUAUGCCACUUCUCAUAAGCGCUAUAUGAUUCUUCCCCGGAAUAUAAUAUGUUAAUCUUUUAUUCAUAAAGUUUUGUUUUUUGAAUAAGGAGAGCAAUGCACAUCAUAAUUUAACAUGAAUAUCUUUAUUAAUUUCUUACAUACCAUGUACUGUUUGAUUCUUUGUACUUUUGUUUCAUAUGUUGUUUGUUUAAUUUAAGACUAAAAAAAAAAAAAUUAAAUGAAUGAGAGGUAAAACUUGAGGGGGUAGGGACAAAUAAGUAAAUACUUCUGCCUACUCCUUUUCAAACAAAUAAUGGAAUGAUAUUUUGUAAUGAUUGUGAAGGCAC